UCCAGUUACGUCACGAGCGCUUUCAUCAUAAAGGGAUGCGUAUUUCCGUCGUAGUUUGACUUGCAUCAUAUUGCAUAAUGUAUUUGCAAGAAGAAAUGAGUGUUUAUUAAAGUAAACAGAAUAGGCUUCCGCAGAUAUUAGAAAAAAAGAUUUGGACCCAAAGUGAGUUGGUCAACACUUUAUAAGAUACGAGAAAAGGUAUUUUAAAAACACGAAGAAUGCCGCCUACACUUAGAAUUGGUAGUAUACCAUAAUACUGCCGGGUAUAUAGACCACUUUGAACAAUGUCUCUUUCCUCCUUCAAGACAGUAGGGCGCAAAGUAAAAGAAUUCGUGAGUUUUAGCAGGUAAAGCGAUUACAAGUAAGCUCUUCCUUUGACUCACAUCUAACAUGUAUAUUACGUUUCCGCUAUAGAUGGUUGUGUUUCAGCAGUUGUUAUUUUAGGUCAAAGUGUGAACGUAAACUGUUGUAUUACUGACUACUCGUUAUAUUUCGUAGUAAACCUAUCUAAACGUUAAAAUGGCAGCUACUCACUACUGACACAAUUUCGAUGAAAUAUAAACUGAGGGAAAAGGAUCAACACCCAAGCCAUUACGUAGAAUAUAACAGAGUAAUGUUUAUCUCUAUUUUAUGCAAAAUAUGCUGCAAACGUUUUAAAUGCGAGCCGCCGUAUCGAGGACCAACGCAUCGUCAAACUCCAGCCGAGAGAAAUUCGAAAUUUCUAGCUUGUAAACUCAAAAUUUAAACGAGCUAAUUGAGAGAGCAUCUGCCCUGUCAUUCAAUCAAUCUGCUAGAAAUAGCAACGAAAUCUCAAUCAUGUCACAACCUAAUAUCUUUUUUUAAAAAAAUGGCAAAAUACAUUGGGCAAUGGUAACGCAACACAGUAAAACUGUUUUGAUAAGUAAAUAUUCGUCAGGAAAAUUGACCCGGGGCUCACUGUCGUCAUCAUUAUCGUCCUCAUCAUUAUCACCAUCCUUAUCAUCAUCAUCAUCAUCAUCAUCAUCAUCAUCAUCAUCAUCGUCGUCGUCGUCGUCGUCAUCGUGCUAACAAGGUCGCCACUACUUAAUGGUUCUACCUUCUAGAAACAGCAAUAUCUUCCUCAAAAAGAAAAAGUAAAAGAAAAAAAUCACCUUAUAUAAUGUAUUCUUAAAUGCACUGUAUUUUAAACAAAAAUACUGAAUUGUCUCGUUCGAACACUUUUUAGCAUUAGGUUUUUUCUUCCCGUCCCCAGAGUUGAUCUGGGCGUAAACAAUACUACAAAAAUAAAGUUUAAAAAAAAUCUAAGUGUUCUGAGAAUUCUUGAGUUUCGUAAUUAGUGGUAAU